GCCUGGGCAUAGCUCAGGUGGUAGAGCAUGAGACUCUUAAUCUUAGGGUCCUGGGUUCAAGCCCCGUGUUGGGUG